GUUGAGGUGAAUGUCGUCUGGUUCGAAAUCUUUCUGUGAGCUUAAACAUGAUCUAUCAGGAAGAUUUCGGACCAGGCUUCAUUCCCCUCAAA
rnacentral:pre_miRNA from 1 species